CAGUCAACGGAGGGCAGUAAGCAAAUUAGUGAUAGAAUCAGACUUGUGUUUUGAAAAGCUCAUCCUGGCUGCUGUGCUUAGAAUAGACUGUGUUGUAGAAAAUACAAACAGGGAAGACCCCAUAGAAAGCUGACGCCAUAUUCUAGGUGAGAAACUAUGGAAAUUUGGACCAAGGUGAUAGAAGGGGAGGUGGUAAGAAACAGUCACAUUCUGUAUACAUUUUAAAAAUAGAACAAAGGAUUGGCUGAAGGAUUGGAUAUGAGAUGGGAAAGAAAGAGAGAGUUCAAGGAAAAUUGCAAAGUCUCUGGUUAUCAUGAGGAGUAUGUGAGAUCCCACAUAUAAAGUAUCAAACAUAAUGCCUAGGACAGAGUGAAUGCUAAAAAAGGGAUAUUCUGGUAUACAUUUCAGUGUGUACAUCUUAACUUAUUCACCCAAUAAUGGCUAUGAAUUCUAUCUAUAUAAUCAGUUUCUGUUCAGGAACAUGAAUGUAAAUUGCAAAGUAGUUUAUACAUUAAAUUCUCAUAGUAGGAAUUCAAUAAAGAUUUGAGAGAAGACGUUUACACUUGGUACCCGUCAAUAUUGGGCAACCACCAACUAUAUUUGGUACUUAACGAGCCUUUAUAGAAGUUCCCAAAAUGUAAAAAUGAAGAGAACUAGAAAGAUUAAGAUAGAAGAGUUUAAAAAAUAUAUGUUCAUGCAGGAGAAAAGUGAAGGCUUUUCAAGGUUACUAAGGUAAGUCUAAGGCAACGAUUCCUAGAGCAAAUCAAGGGGCUGUGAAAGCUAAUGGACAUAGCUCAAGAUUUACUUUUGGGUUUGGAGAAACUAACAUUGAAUUGGCUAUUUCCAAUAAUAAAGUCAUUAGCCCAGGGAAGGAAGAUGAAAUAUAAAAGGAACGUUUAGGUACAGAAAAGUAUAUUUUAAAUUAUCUUUUGGUUGAGAAAAUAUUUCAGAUAAAUGCUGAUGAAAUAAAUCAGCAUUUUAUUUCAGUUUUUUAAUGGUUUUAUAAUAACAGUGAAGGGAUUUAUUCUCUGCCUGUUUACUAUGUUCACAUGGAGAUCUUAAAUGUUUGCCAGAUAUAGUGGAUAGAUUAAAAGAGCCACCUUGGUAAGAACUGAACUAUUUUGUUAUAUUACUGUUUUUAUAAAUGCUGUUAUAUUGCUCUGUAACACACAUUCAUGUAAAGUAUUUGUUUAUAUUUUUAAAAGUAUAUAUAAUGUCUGAGUAUGCAUUUCAGUAUUUCACAGAAACAAAUUAGAAAAGUCACUAAUUUUUGAAAACACUGAAGAACUGAGAGAGCAGAAAUCACUAAAUAAGGAUAUUGUCUGCAGUGAUUAAAAUGGUGGCUAACAGGGAUCUCCAACUGUUGCACCUUUCUUCAAAGAUACGGGCUUCUACAAGGUUUUCAUCAUAGCUACUACAACAGGAGGUCCAGUAGCUCUGGGCUCAAUGCCAAAGCAACCAGAUCCAUGGAGUCUCUGGCCUCUACGUGGCUAACCAGAAGGCUUGGCAAAUUCAGGCUGGAAAUACAGAACAUGUAAUAGUUUGUCGGACAACUUUUAACCCAAUAUGGACAAGAUAUGGGAAGAAGCACACAAUCUUUUCUAGGACACAUCAUUUUAAGGGAAGAUGGGAGAGAUAUGAAGAAGCAGCUGUGGAGAUGCAACGCUGGACAUGAAAUGGGUGUGGAAGACAACGGAAAGCCAGUUGGUCAAGACCCUUGGGAAGAAAAGAAUCUUUAAAAGGUCUCUGUUAGCGUGGGACUAAAUUGUAAUCAGACAUUGUGAAUAAGAUGAAAUACUAAAGAAAGAAAGAAAGAAAAAUAUAGGGCACAUACAGAACUGAUCAAGAAGGGAUUAUCAAGAGACAAUUACUCAACUACCCAUUUGCAAGUGAGCAUAUUCUCACCCAACACUGUUUUCAGUUAUGAUUGAAUGGAAGCUCUAAUUGAAUAGUUCUUUGUGGUGUUCAAAGUCCAAGACAGCAAGUUGUUCUUUUGUAUGGGUUCAUAAGUUUUCCCAGAAUGAACUGUAAAACACUCAUGAUUUCCCUGAACUGUGGCAAAGUGACUUACCCAGUUUCUGGCAAAUUUAUUAAGCAAUACAGACUCCCUGCUUAAUCCAUUGGUUUAAACAAUAUUCAGUUAACACAAAUUAGUGAAUAAGCAGAGACAUAGGUCAGCUGAUCGAAGAAAGAUGUAAAAGUAAAUUAAAAUAAAAUUUAUUUGAAAACAGCAAUGGGUCAGAGCUAAAGCCCAGUACAAGUUAGAACAAAUAAAAACCCAUUAAUCUGAAAAACCUUCUUGGGUUUACAAGAAGGCUUUUCUGAUCUCAGGCUGUAUUUAUCCUCUAGAUGGAAAAAAAAGAGGAGCAAUAAAUCUCUUCAUAUCAAAGGCCUGUUCAGCAGAAAUGAAUUGAAAGUGUUGGGUCAAUUAGACUGAACUAGAUCUCCCCCAGGCAAACCUACUAUCGAUACAUAUUUAGCUUCCAGACACCUUUAAAGGCAGCCUGGGAAAGGCUGGCUAGCAAAGAAAAAAAAAGAUAAUUCUAAAAUUUGAGUUCCCUUUGAACUCCAUCCACUACAGCAAUAAAAAGAGCUGUUUCUGCUCUAUUGCAUUUUGUUGAAACAAAAAAAAAAUAGACUGGAGAAAUGAAUAAGCUCGGCAUAUUAUGUAGAUAAAAUGGUAUUAUGGCAAGAGAAUGAAGAACAAAGAGCUAAGAACCAGAUUCCUGUCGCAGCUCUGCUCUCAUAGCUGUGUGACUUCUGGUCAGUCCUUAGACUUUGAAAUCUAUAGGCUACAUGUCUGGAAAUAAGAGGAUAACAGAUUAUUCUUAAGUUUCUCUGUGAUUCAAAAAUAUCUAUGAAUCUAAAGGAAGGAAGACAGUUAUGUGGAUUGGUUAUUGGAAAAGAAUCUAAAGUAAUUGUUUCAUGUAUGCAUAAAAGGGAAGAUCCAGCUAUAAAUUGUCAAGAUAUCUUCAAAAACACCUUUUAUUAUUGAAAGCUACAAAGAGGACAAAUAGUCAAAUAAAUUUUUGUAGGAACACUCAUAAAUAAUAUUUACUAGUAUCUAGUGAGCAUUUACUAUUUGAAUUACUUUUGUAGAAAGUCUUAUUUAGUCCAAUACAAUCCUUUGAGAUAGAUGCCGUUUUAUAUAAAUUUUAUACAUAAGUCAACUGAGAUACCAUUAUAGACUCAGAAUGUUCUAAGAGGCAAACCAGGAUUUAGUCUCGUACUGUUCAAACUCUACUAAUCACUGUGUAAUUAUAAGCACUCUUCUAGAUCACCAUUUGUAGAUGGCAUAGUAAAGUAAAGACAUCUUCAGCUUGUGCUUCAAGCCAGAACAUACACUGUCACAUUUAAAACUCCAGUGUCUCUGUGAUGGGCUUAUUUGUAUUAUUCCUCUUCCUUUGGUCUAAGUGAAAAUACUUUUUCUUAAUUUCCUGAGACAAUCUGAGAAAAUGAAUCUAGUGAAAAUGCUAGAGUAACUCAUUGGAUUUGAGCGCUCCAACCAUUGAAAUACUAUGGUAUCAACUGGACUAAGAAUCAGAGGACCUCUAUUCAAGGCCUUUCUUUACUAAUUGUGAGUGGGACCUCGAGCAAAUUUCUCACCACUCUAAACAUCAGUUUCCCAACUAUAAAACAGAACUUUUCUCGCUAAUAUUACAAUGUUAAAGAGGUAAAAUAGAAAAAAGAAGGACUUUGGAUCUAGAGGAGCCUAGAUGGGAAUUUUGUGAGGAGUCAUGUGACCUUGUACAAAUUACUCAAACGUUUCUGAGUCUCAUGUUCUUUGUCUGAGUAAUGGUGAUGAUAAUAGUGAUAUGGACAGUAGGCAGCGAAAUACUGGGCAGAAGAGAGCAGUGCCCCAGCAAAGGCCCCACCCUCAAGCCUGGAAACCCGCAGCCCUAAAUGGGAACAAGCAUUCCUGUUUUCAUGCCCAAAUGUUGUCUUUUGGCCCACCAUGUCCCCCACUAUCUUGUACCCAUAUAAACUCCAAACCUCAGGCUCCACGAGCAGAGGAACAGCAGAGCGGCAGAGCAGCAGGGCAGCACAGCAGUGCAGCAGAGAAGGAGAGAAAAGGAGUAUAUGAACGUUAGGAGGAGUUCGGCUGGGGAUGGUCAGAGAGGAGACUGGCCACAGGAUGGCCGAACUCCAGGGGAAGAUCAUCUUCCCACUAAAUCCCCUUUCCAGCUCCCCAUCCAUCCCACUGAGAGCCACCUCCACCACUCAAUAAAAUCCCUGCAUUCACCAUCCUUUAAUUCCGAGUGACCUGAUUCUUCCUGGGUACUGAAAAAGGGGCCAGGUACCAAGAAGGCAGGGUGUAAAAGACUGUGACCCUGACUCUCCACUGAGCUUGUUUAACACUUAGCCACCCACGGACAGCAACUGCUAAAAGAGUAUUAAUUGUAACACACCUCUAGAUGCUUCCGUGGGGCCAGAGCCCAAAAGCACUUGCCCUGGCUCCUGCACCUGCCCAUCUGUGUGCUUCCCCUCUUGUAAGGGAUUUGAGCACCCAGCAGCCAAAUAAACAAGCCACACCCCUAUGAGGGGGUCAGGGAACUCACCCAUUUAAAUAGUAACAACUUCACAAGGCUAAAGUAUAGAUUAAAUUAGAGAACUUUCCUCAAAUGUAGUAGUUUAACCCACAAUAAUGGAAAACAAAUAACUAGAAGAGACUCUGAACAUUGGUGAACCAUUCUGUUUUAAAUAUAAUGUAUACCCACAAAUUGUCUUUUGGGCAUGUAUGUUUUCUUGUAUAUUUGUUCGUUUAUCUCCAGCAAUAGAGAUGAAUUUGUGCUGAGACACUAAUUUUCUUUCUCCUUACCUUCUUUUCUCUUCUCCUUUUCUUUUGUGUGGCAAAAAUAAUGCAUUAUUUUAAAAAAUACUGCUGGCAAGUGUCCUUCCCAGUCCACAUGGGGGCUAACCCCUCCUCAACCUUACUAAAAGGGUGGGCUCCAAAAACUAAUUAGUCGUGUACAGUAAAAAUAA